CCUACGGGAGGCAGCAGUGGGGAAUAUUGCACAAUGGACGAAAGUCUGAUGCAGCAACGCCGCGUGGAGGAUGACACAUUUCGGUGCGUAAACUCCUUUUAUAUAGGAAGAUAAUGACGGUACUAUAUGAAUAAGCACCGGCUAACUCCGUGCCAGCAGCCGCGGUAAUA
rnacentral:rRNA from 1 species